rnacentral:rRNA from 1 species
AGCUAGUUGGUGAGGUAACGGCCCACCAAGGCGACGAUCGGUAGCCGGACUGAGAGGUUGAACGGCCACAUUGGGACUGAGACACGGCCCAGACUCCUACGGGAGGCAGCAGUGGGGAAUAUUGCACAAUGGGGGAAACCCUGAUGCAGCGACGCCGCGUGGAGGAAGAGGUCUUCGGAUUGUAAACUCCUGUUGUUGAGGAAGAUAAUGACGGUACUCAACAAGGAAGUGACGGCUAACUACGUGCCAGCAGCCGCGGUAAAACGUAGGUCACAAGCGUUGUCCGGAAUUACUGGGUGUAAAGGGAGCGCAGGCGGGCGAUCAAGUUGGGAGUGAAAUCCAUGGGCUCAACCCAUGAACUGCUUUCAAAACUGGUCGUCUUGAGUAGUGCAGAGGUAGGCGGAAUUCCCGGUGUAGCGGUGGAAUGCGUAGAUAUCGGGAGGAACACCAGUGGCGAAGGCGGCCUACUGGGCACCAACUGACGCUGAGGCUCGAAAGUGUGGGUAGCAAACAGGAUUAGGUACCCUGGUAGUCCACACCGUAAACGAUGAUUACUAGGUGUUGGGAGAUUGACCCUCUCAGUGCCGCAGUUAACACAAUAAGUAAUCCACCUGGGGAGUACGACCGCAAGGUUGAAACUCAAAGGAAUUGACGGGGGCCCGCACAAGCAGUGGAGUAUGUGGUUUAAUUCGACGCAACGCGAAGAACCUUACCAAGUCUUGACAUCCCUUGACGAUGCUGGAAACAGUAUUUCUCUUCGGAGCAAGGAGACAGGUGGUGCAUGGUUGUCGUCAGCUCGUGUCGUGAGAUGUUGGGUUAAGUCCCGCAACGAGCGCGACCCUUAUGGUCAGUUACUACGCAAGAGGACUCUGGCCAGACUGCCGUUGACAAAACGGAGGAAGGUGGGGAUGACGUCAAAUCAUCAUGCCCUUUAUGACUUGGGCUACACACGUACUACAAUGGCGUUAAACAAAGAGAAGCAAGACCGCAAGGUGGAGCAAAACUCAGAAACAACGUCCCAGUUCGGACUGCAGGCUGCAACUCGCCUGCACGAAGUCGGAAUUGCUAGUAAUCGUGGAUCAGCAUGCCACGGUGAAUACGUUCCCGGGCCUUGUACACACCGCCCGUCACACCAUGAGAGCCGGGGGGACCCGAAGUCGGUAGUCUAACCGCAAGGAGGACGCCGCCGAAGGUAAAACUGGUGAUUGGGGUGAGGUCGUAACAAGGUAGCCGUAGGAGAACCUGCAGCUG